AAGACCUUGCACUUUUGGAGCGGCCGAUGUCUGAUUAGCUAGUUGGUGGGGUAAUGGCCUACCAAAGCUUCGAUCAGUAGCUGGUCUGAGAGGACGGCCAGCCACACUGGGACUGAGACACGGCCCAGACUCCUACGGGAGGCAGCAGUGGGGAAUUUUGGACAAUGGGCGCAAGCCUGAUCCAGCCAUGCCGCGUGAGUGAAGAAGGCCUUCGGGUUGUAAAGCUCUUUCAGCCGGGAAGAAAAGGUUGCGAUUAAUAAUCGCAAUUUAUGACGGUACCGGAAGAAGAAGCACCGGCUAACUACGUGCCAGCAGCCGCGGUAAUACGUAGGGUGCGAGCGUUAAUCGGAAUUACUGGGCGUAAAGGGUGCGCAGGCGGUUUUGUAAGUCAGAUGUGGAAUCCCCGGGCUUAACCUGGGAACU
rnacentral:rRNA from 1 species